rnacentral:rRNA from 1 species
AUUGAACGCUGGCGGCAUGCCUUACACAUGCAAGUCGAACGGCAGCAUGGAGAGCUUGCUCUCUGAUGGCGAGUGGCGAACGGGUGAGUAAUGCAUCGGAACGUACCGUGUAAUGGGGGAUAACGUAGCGAAAGUUACGCUAAUACCGCAUACGACCUGAGGGUGAAAGCAGGGGAUCGCAAGACCUUGCGUUAUACGAGCGGCCGAUGUCAGAUUAGCUAGUUGGUGAGGUAAAGGCUCACCAAGGCGACGAUCUGUAGCGGGUCUGAGAGGAUGAUCCGCCACACUGGGACUGAGGCACGGCCCAGACUCCUACGGGAGGCAGCAGUGGGGAAUUUUGGACAAUGGGGGCAACCCUGAUCCAGCCAUGCCGCGUGAGUGAAGAAGGCCUUCGGGUUGUAAAGCUCUUUCGGCCGGGAAGAAAUCGCACAGGCUAAUACUCUGUGUGGAUGACGGUACCGGCAUAAGAAGCACCGGCUAACUACGUGCCAGCAGCCGCGGUAAGAC